GACGAACGCUGGCGGCGUGCUUAACACAUGCAAGUCGAACGGAAAGGCCCUGCUUUUGUGGGGUGCUCGAGUGGCGAACGGGUGAGUAACACGUGAGUAACCUGCCCUUGACUUUGGGAUAACUUCAGGAAACUGGGGCUAAUACCGGAUAGGAGCUCCUGCUGCAUGGUGGGGGUUGGAAAGUUUCGGCGGUUGGGGAUGGACUCGCGGCUUAUCAGCUUGUUGGUGGGGUAGUGGCUUACCAAGGCUUUGACGGGUAGCCGGCCUGAGAGGGUGACCGGCCACAUUGGGACCGAGAUACGGCCCAGACUCCUACGGGAGGCAGCAGUGGGGAAUAUUGCACAGUGGGCGGAAGCCUGAUGCAGCAACGCCGCGUGCGGGAUGACGGCCUUCGGGUUGUAAACCGCUUUCGCCUGUGACGAAGCGUGAGUGACGGUAAUGGGUAAAGAAGCACCGGCUAACUACGUG
rnacentral:rRNA from 1 species